AUGAUGUUUAUCACAGAGGCGAAGCUACCGAAGAGGAAAAUUUGGAGGAAAUGGCGAGAACCGCAAACCCUGAAGAAAUUUCAAUUGACGAAGAUGAUGAUGAUGAAGAUGAGAAAAUUGGUAGUAAAAAAUUUGUGUAAAAUUCUGGUCAUCAAAGAUAAAGAGCAGUUGCAGCAGAGCUCGAGUGCGAGGAAAUUGCAAGAGGGUGGGAGAAGAAAUUUGCAGGAGAGUUCGAGGGGGGGGGGGUGGAAGUUAGGAGUUUGGAAUGGGGAAGUGCACGAGGGUCGGGGAGGGUGUGGGACGUUAGGAGGGUGGCAGAGGAAGGUCGCUGGAUGGUGGAGGACGUUUCGUUCGCGAGAUCCAAAGUUGUAUCCAAAAUUUUAGUAAAAUUUAUUAUAUUUGUUUGUAUUUUUUAGAAGUUCAACUCGAGCAGCAAACUAUUCCAUCCAAGGUAAUGUAAUAUGUAUGUAAAAGUGGUCUUCGUUAUCCAUUUUACUUUUUGUGUACUACUAAUAGGUCCGUUCAUUGAUAAGUUUGAUAUGUAGGACUACAGGGCAC